rnacentral:rRNA from 1 species
UACGAAGGGGGCUAGCGUUGCUCGGAAUCACUGGGCGUAAAGCGCACGUAGGCGGAUUGCUAAGUCAGAGGUGAAAUCCUGGAGCUCAACUCCAGAACUGCCUUUGAUACUGGCGAUCUCGAGUCCGGGAGAGGUGAGUGGAACUGCGAGUGUAGAGGUGAAAUUCGUAGAUAUUCGCAAGAACACCAGUGGCGAAGGCGGCUCACUGGCCCGGUACUGACGCUGAGGUGCGAAAGCGUGGGGAGCAAACAGG